AUGGAGAAUUGUCUGUACCACGGUCGAAUGGAUUGCUACGCUUUUAACCAGACGCAGCGCUACAUAGAGAGGUACAUCUCCAUCCGGGAGGAGUACGUGCGCUUCGACAGCGACGUGGGGGAGUACCGCGCGCGGUGACCGAGCUGGGGCGGUCCACAGCCGAGGACUGGAACGGACGGAAGGGCCUCCCGGCGGAGAGGCGGGCCCUGGUGGACACGCUGUGCAGAUACAGCUACAAGCGGGAUGAGGCCGUCACCCUGCAGCGCCGAGUUCAGCCUAGAGUGAACAUCUCCCCCGCCAAGAAGAAGCCCCUGCAGCACCACAACCUGCUUGUCUGCCACGUGACAGAUUUCUAUCCAGGCAGCAUUCAAGUCCGAUGGUUCCUCAAUGGACAGGAAGAAAUAGCCGGGGUUGUGUCCACCAGCCUGAUCCGCAAUGGAGACUGGGCCUUCCAGAUCCUGGUGAUGCUGGAAAUGACCCCCCAGCAGAGAGACAUCUACACCUGCCAAGUGGAGCACCCCAGCCUGGACAGUCCUCUCACCGUGGAGUGGAAAGUGCAGUCUGAUUCUGCCCAGAGCAAGACGCUGACUGGAGCUGGGGGCUUCAUACUGGGGCUCAUCAUCUUUGGCAUGGGCAUCUGCAUGCACAGGAGGAGCAAGAAAGGUAAGGACACCUGCAAGUUCAACAAGAAUCUCAAUAAACAGGUAACAUUCCUGCUUCAAUUUCCUUGA